GUCAUAGCCUAACGGCUGAACCAGCAACUGGAGGAAUGUAUAGCAAUAGCUAAUUGCACCAACAAAUAGUUGAUGCAAUAUCGACUCUGUCGAAUAAAAUUCUAGGUAGAAUUAUGAUAAUGACAUUGUCUGCCUAUGUGUCUUGACCAAAUUACGUGCCAGCAGUCGCGGUAAUACGUAGAAGACUAGUGUUAUUCAUCUUUAAUAGGUUUAAAGGGUACCUAGACGGUAAAUCAAGCCUUCAAGGGGACUAAUUUACUAGAGUUACUUGUGAGGGGGUAUUAAAGUACUAAUGGUGUAGAGAUGAAAUUCUGUCAUACCUAUUUUCGGAAGAAAAAUUACGGCACAGGUAUAGGCGAAAGCAUCCCCUUAUGUGAUAACUGACGUUGAAGGACGAAGGCUUUGUGUCGCGAACAGGAUUAGAUACCCCAGUAGUCAAAGCAGAAAAUGAUGAAUGUCAUAGAUUAGACAUAUAGUUUAUUCUAUAAAUGAAAGUGUAAGCAUUCCACCUCAAGAGUAAUUUGGCAACAUUGGAACUGAAAUCAUUAGACCGUUUCUGAAACCAGUAGUGAAGUAUGUUGUUUAAUUUGUUGAUCCGCAAAAAACCUUACCACAAUUUGAAUAUUUAUAUCUUUUUUUCAUGGAAAAGAUGAGAAAAGAUAUCUUUACAAGCGUUGCACGGCUGUCUUCAGUUAAUGUCGUGAGACUUUGGUUAGUUCCAUUAAAUUAACGUAAACCCUUACUUUAUUUUUAUAUAAAGUAGUUCCCCACUAGAUUGGAUAAGAUAACAGGGACUAAGACAAGUCAUCAUGGCCUGAAUAUUGUGGGCUAUAGACGUGCCACAUAAACCUUACAAAAGGAUGUG
rnacentral:rRNA from 1 species